GACGAACGCUGGCGGCGUGCUUAACACAUGCAAGUCGAACGGGCUGCCUGGUUUUCGGAUCGGGUGGUGAGUGGCGAACGGGUGAGUAACACGUGAGUAACCUGCCCCUCUCUUUGGGAUAACGUCGGGAAAUCGGCGCUAAUACCGGGUAUUCUGGCUUCCUCGCAUGGGGUUGUUGGGAAAGGUUUUUUCUGGUGGGGGAUGGGCUCGCGGCCUAUCAGCUUGUUGGUGGGGUGAUGGCCUACCAAGGCGGUGACGGGUAGCCGGCCUGAGAGGGUGUCCGGCCACACUGGGACUGAGACACGGCCCAGACUCCUACGGGAGGCAGCAGUGGGGAAUAUUGCACAAUGGGCGGAAGCCUGAUGCAGCGACGCCGCGUGGGGGAUGACGGCCUUCGGGUUGUAAACCUCUUUCAGUGCAGAACAAGGCUCUUUGUGGGUUGAGGGUAGGCGCAGAAGAAGCGCCGGCUAACUACGUG
rnacentral:rRNA from 1 species